UCCUACGGGGGGCAGCAGUGGGGAAUAUUGGGCAAUGGGCGCAAGCCUGACCCAGCAACGCCGCGUGAAGGAAGAAGGCUUUCGGGUUGUAAACUUCUUUUCUCAGGGACGAAGAAAGUGACGGUACCUGAGGAAUAAGCCACGGCUAACUACGUGCCAGCAGCCGCGGUAAUACGUAGGUGGCAAGCGUUAUCCGGAAUUACUGGGCGUAAAGAGAGCGUAGGCGGCACUACAAGUCUCAUGUGAAAUACCCGGGCUUAACUUGGGGGUUGCAUGGGAAACUGUAGAGCUUGAGUACAGGAGAG
rnacentral:rRNA from 1 species